rnacentral:lncRNA from 1 species
CCCCCCCCCAACUCGUGGGUCACUUAAGGGGGGGGUUAUGGGGUUAUGGGGGGGUUAUGGGUCCCCCUUCGUCCCCCCACCCCAACUCGUGGGUCACUUAAGGGGGGGGUUAUGGGGUUAUGGGGGGGUUAUGGGUCCCCCUUCGUCCCCCCACCCCAACUCGUGGGUCGCUUAAGGGGGGGUUAAGGGGGGGUUAUGGGUCCCCCUUCAUCCCCCCCAUCCCAACUUGUGGGUCGCUUCAUGGAGGGGUAAUGGGGGGGAUAUGUGGGGGUUAUGGGUCCCCCUUCGUACCCCCACCCCGACUCGUGGGUCGCUUCACGGGGGGGGGUUAUGGGGGGGUUAUGGGGGGGGUAAUGGGGGGGUUAUGGGGGGGUUAUGGGGUGUGUGGGGGGGUUAUGGGUCCCCCUUCGUCCCCCCAUCCCAACUCGUGGAUCUCUUAAUGGGGGGGUUAUGGGGUUAUGGGGGGGUUAUGGGUCCCCCUUCGUCCCCCCCCCCCCCCAACUCGUGGGUCGCUUAAGGGGGGGGUUAUGGGGUUAUGGGGGGGUUAUGGGUCCCCCUUCAUCCCCCCACCCCAACUCGUGGGUCGCUUAAGGGGGGGGGGUUAUGGGGUUAUGGGGGGGUUAUGGGUCCCCCUUCAUCCCCCCAUCCCAACUCGUGGGUCACUUACGGGGGGGUUUAUGGGGUUAUGGGGGGGUUAUGGGGGGGUUAUGGGUCCCCCUUCAUCCCCCCCACCCCAACUUGUGGGUCGCUUAAGGGGGGGUUAUGGGGGGGUUAUAGGGGGUUAUGGGGUUAUGGGGGGGUUAUGGGGGGGGUUAUGGGGGGGGUCAUGGGGCGGUUCGGGUCGCGGGGCUCAGCUGAUGUAGACGCGGUGGAAGUCGUGGGCCCCGAAGGCGGCGUUGCAUUUGGGGCACUUCCUCUGGCGGGUGUCGUAGCGGCUCUUGACGCACUCGAAGCAGAAGACGUGGAAGCAUUUGGUCAGCACCGCGUCCUUCUUGCGCGCGUUGCAGCACGGGCACGUCAGGCGGGCCUAUGGGGGGGGGGGGG